rnacentral:lncRNA from 1 species
AUAAUUCAAAAGAUUUCAGCUUAGUACCAAACCGUUCUUUCCUUUUGAUACAAAGCCAAGAAUCUGAAAUUUUUUCGGUAAUCUGACUUCUAUACAUUGUUUUGGAUCUAACUUUUAGCACUAAACUCUGAUUUAGGCAAAACCUAAUCCAUUUGAAAGUAGACUCAAAUAUCUUUAUUUUUACACUAAGAUUGAAUGAUUUGGAGUUUAAAUGCCUACUAAGACUUCUGUUUCAAUUAACCCUA